AUUGAACGCUGGCGGCAGGCCUAACACAUGCAAGUCGAACGAGUGGCGGACGGGUGAGGAAUGUCGGGGAAACUGCCUGAUGGAGGGGGAUAACUACGGGAAACGGUAGCUAAUACCGCAUACUAUCGGAUGUGCCCAGAUGGGAUUAGCUAGUAGGUGGGGUAAAGGCUCACCUAGGCGACGAUCCCUAGCUGGUCUGAGAGGAUGAUCAGCCACACUGGACCUGAGACACGGCCCAGACUCCUACGGGAGGCAGCAGUGGGGAAUCUUCCGCAAUGGGCGAAAGCCUGACACAGCCACGCCGCGUGAAUGAUGAAGGUCUUCGGGUCGUAAAGCUCUUUCAUUGGGGAGGCGGUACCUGCUCAGGAAGCCCCGGCUAACUCCGUGCCAGCCGCCGCGGUAAUUC
rnacentral:rRNA from 1 species